rnacentral:lncRNA from 1 species
AAGGAUUUCCAAUAGACCUCUUGCACAAUGCGGAUAGCAGGAUUCUUGUAGUCCGACAACGCUGCAAUCCGCCAUAUUGAGAAAACCACACCCUUUUUUAACACUGUCUCUUAUGGAAGUAUUUUUUCAAAGUGUUUUUUCUCUAAACUGGAUAACAACUUCGAGCAAAGAAAAAUGUUAAAAAAUACUACAUCAUUCAGGGCAUAUGGGCAUUGUUUACAUAUGUGGACCAUAUGAGGACCCAAACAUAUUGUCAUGUUUGACGAGGUAUUGGUGGAAAAUGCUAUAAUCCAAUUAUUCGACCUAUCCAACUAUUCUGAUAGUUUGCCAACCGAGGCAAAAGAACGCUAUCUUUCGAAGUUGACAAGCAUCUAAUGCCAGAAUGAUCGGUCAAAUUUCACAAUGUGAAUUUGCUGCCACAAAAUCCUUUAGGUGCUGUGAAAUGAACACUGCAGAGCAUUAACACUAUAUGAUGACCUUUACAACCAGAUCGAAGAAGGAAUUGUGUCAGCUCAAAAA